rnacentral:rRNA from 1 species
AUUGAACGCUGGCGGCAUGCCUUACACAUGCAAGUCGAACGGCAGCACGGGAGCAAUCCUGGUGGCGAGUGGCGAACGGGUGAGUAAUAUAUCGGAACGUGCCCAGGAGUGGGGGAAAGCCCGGCGAAAGCCGGAUUAAUACCGCAUGAGACCUGAGGGUGAAAGCGGGGGCUCGCACGACCUCGCGCUACUGGAGCGGCCGAUAUCAGAUUAGCUAGUUGGUGGGGUAAAGGCCUACCAAGGCAACGAUCUGUAGUUGGUCUGAGAGGACGACAAGCCACACUGGGACUGAGACACGGCCCAGACUCCUACGGGAGGCAGCAGGGGGGAAUUUUGGACAAUGGGAGCAAGCCUGAUCCAGCAAUGCCGCGUGCAGGAAGAAGGCCUUCGGGUUGUAAACUGCUUUUGUCAGAGAAGAAAUCCUCUGGGUUAAUACCUCGGGGGGAUGACGGUACCUGAAGAAUAAGCACCGGCUAACUACGUGCCAGCAGCCGCUGUAAAAC